rnacentral:rRNA from 1 species
UACGUAGGGGGCAAGCGUUGUCCGGAUUUAUUGGGCGUAAAGAGCGUGUCGGCGGCUAGAUAGGUCCGUUGUGAAAACUCGAGGCUCAACCUCGAGACGUCGAUGGAAACCAUCUGGCUAGAGUCCGGAAGAGGAGAGUGGAAUUCCUGGUGUAGCGGUGAAAUGCGCAGAUAUCAGGAAGAACACCCGUGGCGAAGGCGGCUCUCUGGGACGGUACUGACGCUGAGACGCGAAAGCGUGGGGAGCGAACAGG